rnacentral:lncRNA from 1 species
GCCAAGCAGAGUCGGUCGGAAGUUGUUGCGGAAAGUAACAACAAUCCGGCAGAUGCGGAUGCCGCAUCGGAGGAUCCGAUUCGGGCCAAGCAGAGUCGGCUUGAAGAGUUGAAGCGGAACGUGGCCGGCUCUGAC